rnacentral:tRNA from 1 species
GGUACCGUAGUUCAAUGGAUAGAAUAGAAGUUUGCUAAAUUUUAGAUGUGAGUUCGAUUCUCGCCGGGACCA